CUAGCCCCUAUACCUACCACUUAGUCACUUAUGGGCAUUUGAAACGAUCAGAUAGGUUAAAGAAAUAUAGUAAUUGCUUCACCUUGCCUUCUGAUAGUCUGGAUGCAAUUGUGGCCAUAUUGCUUAUACCUAUUCAAUCAUUACUGAUUCACAGAAGUGUUUAGGCCAGGGUGUAGGAUUUAGGGGUCAAUUUGGAUUUAGGAAUCAAAUGUAGUUCAGGGGCUUACAGCUGUCCUUAAUUAGCCAAUGACGUUAGAAGGGUCUGGGAUUUGUUUAAAAGGAGCAACCAAAAAGCCUGCCAGAUACAGCAAAAGAGAUAUCAUACUAGGGCUUAUACCGGCCAUUAGUACUGAUUACUGGGGAGGUUUUGAGGUGCAAAAUGGCCGUGAUGAUUGGAAUCGCUUUCAGAGUUUCUUGGCUUUGUUGCCUGCUAAUUGGAGGGAUAACCUGUUCUACAUCAAGUGAUGGGUAUCCUGCACUAGGUUCUGAUGCAGCAUGGCUCUAUGCCGGCUCACUUAGGUCUAAAGGAUAUGGUAAUUACAACUCUCCAACAGCUCAAAUGCAAGCGCAGCUGACCGAAGAGCAACAGAAGCAUCCGGCCGUCAUCCUGCAAAAGCAACUGGUCCACAUGCCCCAGGCACCUCAGAAAAUGUGGUAUCCAGCUCAAAUGCCCCAGCAGGAAAAGCAACCGGCCGCCAUGACCCAACAGCAGACUCUACCGGACAGUUAUCCUAAGCAGCCUCAAGCAGUGUUGUAUCCAGCUCAAAUGCCCCAGAAGCAACCAGCUACUGAACUUCAGCAUCAGAAGGAACAGGCCUCCAUACCCCAGCUACCUCAGCAAGUGUGGUAUCCAGUACAAAUUCCCCAGCAGCAGAAGGAACUGACCACCAUGCCCCAGAAGCAACUGGCUCCAAUUCCUAUACUGCAGAAACAACCAACCGCUAUGCCCCAGCAAGCAUGGUAUCCAGCUCAAAUGCAGCAGAAGCAACCAGCCCCAAUGCCUCCACUGCAGAAGCAACCGGCCACCAUGCCCCAGCAAGUGUGGCAUCCAGCUCAAAUGCCCAAGCAACAAAAGCAACCAGCCACUGAACCUCAGCAGCAGAAGGAACUGUCCGCCAUGCCCCAGCUUCUUCAGCAAGUGUGGCAUCCAGCUCAAUUUCCCCAGAAGCAACAUGUCCCUAUGCAUCAACCGCAGAAGGAACUGACUGCCAUUCCACCACAACUGUGGCAGUAUGCUCAAAUGCCCCAGCAGCAUAAGCAACUGGCUGCCAUGCUUCAGCAAGUGCGGCAACAGGCCACCAUGCCCCAGAUGCCUCACGAUGUGUGGUAUCCAGCUAAAAUGGUCCAGAAGCAACAAGCCGCUGCAACUCGGCGGCAUAAGGAACUUAACGCCAUAACUACGCAAGAGUGGCAUCCAGCUCAAUUUCCCCAGCAGCAGAAGCAACCAGCCCUAAUGCCUUUACCGCGGAAGGAACUUACCGCCAUACCUCAACAAGUGUGGUAUCCAGCUCAAAAGCCCCAGAUGCAGAAGCAACCGGCCGCAGAACUUCAGCAGCAAAUUGAACCGACCUCCAUUCCUCAGCCACCUCAGCAAGUGUGGCAACCAGAUCAAUUUCCCCAGGAGCAGAAGCAACCAGCCCCUAUGCGUGUAGCACAGAAGGAACUGACUGCCAUACCCCAACUGUGGCAAACGGCUCAAAUACCGCAGAAGCAACCGGCUGCUGAACCACAGCACAAUGAACCGGCCACCAUGCCCCAGCAAGAGUGGCAUCCACCUCAAAUGCUGCAGACGCAACCAAGCUCCAUGCCCCAGCAAGUGUGGUGUCCAGCUCACAUUCCCCAGCAGCAGAAACAACUGGCCACCAUGCUGCAGAAGCAACCAGCCCCAAUGCCUCAACCGCAGAAGCAACUGGCCACCAUGCCCCCGCAAGUGUGGCAUCCAGCUCAAAUGCCUCAGCAGCAAAAGCAACCAGCUACUGAACCUCAGCAGCAAAUUGAACCGACCGCCAUGCCCCAGCCACCUCAGCAAGUGUGGCAUUCAGAUCAAUUUCCCCAGGAGCAGAAGCAACCAGCCCCUAUGCAUCUAGCGCAGAAGGAACUGACUGCCAUACCCCAACAACUGUGGCAAAUGGCUCAAAUGCCCCAGCAGCAUAAGCAACCGUCUACCAUGCUUCAGCAAGUGUGGCAUCUGGCGCAGAAGCAACAGGCCCCUAUGCCCCAGCAGACUCACGAUGUGUGGUAUCCAGCUAAAAUGGUCCAGAAGAUACAAGCCGCUGCAACUCGGAGGCAGAAGGAACUGACCGCCAUAACUAAGCAAGAGUGGCAUCCAGCUCAAUUUCCCCAGCAGCAGAAGCAACCGGCCUCCACGCCUCUACCGCAGGAGCAACUGACUGCCGUAUCCCAGCAAGUGUGGUAUCCAGCUCAAAUGCCUCAGAAGCAUCUGGCCUCCAUGCCGCAGAAGCAACCGACCACCAUUCCACAGCAACCAGUGUAUCCAGCUCAAAAGCCCCAGCUGCAGAAGCAACCGGCCGCUGAACCUCAGCAGCAAAUUGAACCGACCUCCAUUCCCGAGCAAGUGUGGCAUCCAGCUCAAUUUCCCCAGCAGCAGAAGCAACCGGCCUCCAUGCCUCUACCGCAGGAGCAACCGACUGCCGUAUCCCAGCAAGUGUGGUAUCCAGCGCAAAUGUCCCAGCAGCGGAAGCAACACACUGCCAUGCCACAGCAGCAACUGACCCCCAUGCCUCAGCUAUUAUGGCAUGUAGCUCAAAUGCCCCAGAAGCAACUGGCCCCAAUGUCUCAGCAGAAGCACUACGAAAGCACUGAAGAUUGUGCCUGUGGUAGCUCUCAGGCCAGCAUCGUUGAACAGUUGGGUGUCAUCCCAAUCUAUUCCUACAGUUCCAAAUCGCACUACGAGAGUGGCAGAACUGUCUUCUCCCAAACCCGCUACACUCCUAGGGAGGCAAUGCCUGUUGACAGUGGAAAUUCUCCCAAGGACAGUUAUGUUGUCAUUGGUGCACCAAGCAUAUAUCCACCAGUAGUGAAGGAUUCUGCAAGGAAAAUGUAAUGGAUUCAUCCUCUAGAAGCUCUAAUGGAAGUUGCUGGUGCUCUUGCUACUCUAGCGUGAUGGAAUCAAUAAACAAUUUUACUUGUCUCUUUGAAAUAAUGGUUCUCGUGUCCAUUGCUUGCUAAUUGAGAACAGGUGGUGUGCAUUCUGUAGUAAAAAUGACUGCUGUUAAGUUAAUUCUUUGGCCUUCUAAUCUUGAACUUAUAUGGUGAUUGCAUCAACUUUCAUAGUAUUACCACGACGACUGCAAAACAGUUUCUUUCAAUCACCCAUGUGGGUAUAACCAAUGAGAUGGGAGAGGGAAGACUUUCAGUGAGAUCUGUGUCAGAAAUGGAAAGGAGUUCUAUUUUAGCCUAUCGCAGACAUUCGUUGGCACGCGCGAGCAGUGUGGGUGC
rnacentral:lncRNA from 1 species